rnacentral:lncRNA from 1 species
AAUUCUAUGUCAACUGUUUGCUAAUAUAGGCGGCGCAGAGAUAUGAAAACCAAACCGUGACAAUACACCUAAGCUAAAAGGUCAACGCACGCCUAAACUAGCAGCUCAACUCAUGAUUGGACUAAUAAUUUAAAACUAAAACUAAAACCUAAACCUAUUUUACAAAUAAAACUCAUAAUUAGGCUAACAACCCUACCCAUCAACUAACGACUUGACGGUAUGCUAUUCCUUCUUUUUUUUAAAGCUUCACUACCAUCGAAAUAUAUAUAACAGUAGUAAAAUUGUAAACUUUUAUUUUUAUACCAUAGUAGUAUGGCUAUGAUUGGAAGGUUGUAGUGUCAGUCAAGUUGGAAAAACUGUUGGCACUUUUUUUCUGAAUCAAUGGAAUUCUUAUCAAACACAUGCAAACGUAUAAAGAAGACUUGAAUAGAUAAUCUUUGAAUUCAAACAAAUCCUAGUCAACUGAACAACGCAUCUACCUCAGCAGUCCUUGGGAAAUGUAUAAAUAGGCAAGCAUUAAACUUUUAUAUAUAAAACCAUCGAGAUCUCUAUUUUUAACUCGGUGGUUUCUUUCACAAGACUUACUUCAAGAACGACAACACAUCCUGACAGUUAAUUCAUUAAUACUAAUACUAUCGAGGAUUCUGUCAUCCAAGUGGAAUGAACAUGGGCAUCAAAGGAAUGUUUCCUCAAAGUGAGAACUAUAGUGUUGCAAGAGCGAAUACUUGGUCGCUUAGAACAAAACGAAUUACUGUCAUUAGGAUAUGCUCAAAAGUGUGGCGCUAUAUCUUGUAUCUAUUGCUACGUUCAUUCAUUGAUCCAACAGCAUGGGUAUAGAAAGAAGACGAUAAGCAGGAGUUGCGCAAACGAAGUUAUGGAGUUUCUUGCAUGCAUGCAUGUUUUGGCAUAAAGCUGGUACUUCGAAAUAUGCCUAUGAAAUCUCUACCUGCUUUGCACCCUAAAUAUAACGUGUCGUCUUGUAGCUGCAUGUGAAUUACAACGAUUGAUAGAUGAAAAACAAAUCGACUUGUUGCCCAUUUCAUCGUUUCAAACGACUGGUAGUGUUGCUUGUGUCCAUAUCCAUACUAUGUCCGUGUGUUUUGCUUUAUUACACUUGGUCAAAGAAAUCUAUAUGAUGUUCUUUACGAAACCCACAAAGUCAUUAGGGAUAUCAUUCGAACAGAAGGGUAUGUAUGCAAAAUACACUACAAGGACUAAGCCCAAGCACCGUAUUGUUUCAGUCUCGAAGUAAUUCUAUGUACCCGUGCAUUGGAGAUGCGUUUAAUUAACAUGGUGCGAUUGGACUUGAGUGAGCUGACAGCACUGUAUGAGGGUCUGUUUGCCAAGAUUCAGGACUUGUUGAAAGAGUUAUUACAACUACAACUAUAAUUAUAACUACAACUAUAACUAUAACUGCAACUAUAACUACAACGAUAAGAACUAUCACUACUCUGAAGACAACGAUGUGUUUUCUCAAGAUGAUAACGGAUCUAGCUUCGCCAUCAAUAAGUAUGAGACAAAGGAGUCCAUCUUUGAUGAAACAUCCAUUUGCCUGUUGUACAUUUUUGCAGGACAACCAGCCUGAGCACAAGAGACAUGGUGUACUAGACUUUGUGCGGAAUGUCUACUUCAAAACUUGCAUCUUUAUAUCUGAUAUAUAGAGAUAUAGAGAUAUAGAGAUAUAGAGAGAGGCUGAUGAUUUAUAAACACAAACGAUAAGACUUGUAACAUGAAGUUUGUCGAAAAAGUCAAUCUUUAAAUUCCUUUCUGAACCUCUCUGUUAUGUCAGUGCUUCGGUAUUAUGUUUUAAUGCAGUCACUUGAGGCGUUGUCCUAAUAGGUGCAAAGUUACCGUAUAUUUAGGUUUCAUGUUUGUGAUUACUGGAGAACGACUGUGAAGAGACCAACCGUAUCGUGUUUUUUCCAAUUGUGAUCUUCCAAUGCUUAAUAAAUACGAAAUCUUAUUUCGAUUUACAGGCUGGGCAUUCACGAAACAUAGCGUUUUUACAUUUCUACAGGCACAC